rnacentral:rRNA from 1 species
GAUGAACGCUGGCGGCGUGCCUAAUACAUGCAAGUCGAGCGAACGGACGAGAAGCUUGCUUUUCUGAUGUUAGCGGCGGACGGGUGAGUAACACGUGGAUAACCUACCUAUAAGACUGGGAUAACUUCGGGAAACCGGAGCUAAUACCGGAUAAUAUUUUGAUCCGCAUGGUUCAAAAGUGAAAGACGGUCUUGCUGUCACUUAUCGAUGGAUCCGCGCUGCAUUAGCUAGUUGGUAAGGUAACGGAUUACCAAGGCAACGAUGCAUAGCCGACCUGAGAGGGUGAUCGGCCACACGAGAACUGAGACACGGUCCAGACUCCUACGGGAGGCAGCAGUAGGGAAUCUUACGCAAUGGGCGGAAGCCUGACGGAGCAGCGCCGCGUGAGUGAUGAAGGUCUUCGGUUCGUAAAACUCUGUUAUUAGGGGAAAACAUAUGUGUAAGUUAAUGAACACAUCUUGACGGUACCUAAUCAGAAAGCCACGGCUAACUACGUG